AAAGAGAAGAUAAUUUUCUUCUUCUUUAUGUUAUUAGAUGUUGGUAUAUUGACAGUUUUUAUUCUAAUCAUAUAUAAAACAACAUAUGUACAAAAAUUAGUAAAUGUCCUCCAACUAUAAUGAAAACUAGAUUUUGACCCGCGCUUUGAAAGAGCGAGAUAUUUUUCGUUGAAAUUUUAAUUAAUCCAUCUAUUUGUUCACUAAUAUGUUUAGGCAUGUGAGUUCAAUUUUCAGUUCGACUGUAAUUUGUUUUUUUUUUUUGGUUUUCGGUUUUUGGUUUUGGUUGUGAUUUUGUUUUUUUCGAAUUAAAAAAUAUAGGGACCGUUCGAUUAUUUGUGAUUAAUUAGUUUAGCUCUCAGUUUGAUUGGGAAAAAAUAUUGAAAACUCAAUAAAUUUUCGAGUUUAAUUUGGUGCUGGUUCGGUACCUGUUUUGGAUAAUACGGUUUAAAAUCACAUUUUUGUAUUUUUAGAAAAAAAUCGGGUAAAUUUAAAUAUUUAACAUAUAAUAUUCUUGUGAUUUCAAUGUAUUCAGAAAUUCGUAUCUUACAUAGUAAUAUUUCUUCUCUUUUAUAAAUCUAUUUAUAUUGAAGUUGAUUUUAAUAGGAAAAUAAAUUAUAUUUAAAACUCUUACAAUAUAUAAUAACUUCCCGA
rnacentral:lncRNA from 1 species